UAAUAUCCAUCUCGUAUGGAUUAAAGCUUUAUGCGCUUUGGGAGGGGCCUGCGUAACAUUAGCUUGUUGGUGAGGUAAAAGCUCACCAAGGCUUCGAUGUUUAACUGGUUUGAGAGGAUGACCAGUCACACUGGGACUGAGAUACGGCCCAGACUCCUACGGGAGGCAGCAGUAAGGAAUCUUCCACAAUGGGGCAACCCUGAUGGAGCAAUACCGCGUGCAGGAUGAAGCGUUUCGGCGUGUAAACUGCUUUUAUCACCGAAGAUUAUGACUGUAGGUGAAGAAUAAGGACCGGCUAACUACGUG
rnacentral:rRNA from 1 species